AUGCAGAGAUGUUUUUAUAGAUUGGGAGAAUUGCAUCAAAGAGGCCGACACUAACAAGGAGAAUGUUGUAGAUAAGUGCUUUGAUGCGACUGCGGCGUUGAGGAAGUGUAUGCAGGCUCACGCCGAUUAUUACGAGCCUAUUUUGCGGGUGGAGAAGGAUGCAGAAGAGAAGUUCAUGAAAGAAUUGGAGAACGAAAAGGCGUCAGAAGGAUCAGAAUCAAAUGUGGCUGAGGAGGAAACAGAAAUAGUUGUGGAUUCCAAAGAUUCGACGAAUGGUAAAUGAGAUGGUUAGGUGAUUGUUGAUUUUUUGUUUUGGGGGCUUUCUUGAAAGCCAAAUUCUGUUUGUUUAUGCUAAUUUGAACUAAUUAAUGCAAUAGAACAUAUUAGGAAUUAAGAUUUACUUCCUUAAUCGAUAUGGGUAUUGGGUUAACAAGAGAAGGUGAUCGAUGAAAAUGUUUAGAACAAAUGAAUGGUGUUGAUUACUUUCACGUGAAUCUACAUUUAACAAUCAUUUUUAUGUUAUGUGAUAUGUUUUUGGCUGACUAGCAUAUCUCAGUUGCACAUUUUGUUAUAUUUUGGGUUUACUUGUUUAGUAGAAUCUUUGGGUUAUUGUCUCAAUCAUACUUCUGUGAAUGCCAGUGAAUUUCACCACUCUUACCAGUUGACUUUUCUGAUACAAUGGUGAUGAUGUUUACUUGAGAAUGGUGAUAUGAUUUACGGGUUUAUUUGCUAAUGAGACAAGAGUGUAUAUAUAUAAUGGUAAAAUGGAGUUCCUGAGGAGCAAUGCUGCUAAAUAUAUAAAUUUGAUUUAGUGGUAGGAUAUUCCUUAUGAAUGCUGACAACAUGGGUACUUAGAGCUGAUAAAAUCAUAACUGCAUGAAAUUUUACCUAAAAUUAGACUGUUCUUUCGCUCUUUUCCUCUGUGGUUCAACUCCUGGGACUGUUAUCCUGGUAGAAGCUGAGUGGUGGAUAUUUUUGCAACAACCAGAAGAUGUGUGGUGGAUACUUAUUUCUUUGUGCCUGGAGUUGCUAAAAUCUUUACCAAGAUGACAAACUCUAUAAUGCAGAUAGUAUUGGGAAGUCCAAUUGCUGCUUUCUAUCAUUGUUGACAUGAUCUUUCAAAUGAUUGCUACAUAUGAAUAAGGAUUGUUUGGAUUUGUGCUUCGCACUGUUUGUUUCUUAUGCUUUAUUGCUUUUUAUCUUUGUCAAUCUGGUUGUUCAAGACUGAAAUGAAAGUGUGUUGAUACUUUUGACCUGGUCUAUACAGGUUAAUUUGCAUUAUUUGCAGGUGUGAUACAGACCUGAAUCAGAUGGCACACUGGAUGGUCCCAAGUGGCACACUAGAUGAUCCCAGCAACAGGAUGGGAUUCCAAACAAGUCUUCAUUCCCUCACUAACAUAAUAAGCGGGUCUGGAAGAAUUCAAUCAGUAAGGGAGUUAGGCAUUAAUUUAUUCCUAUGUCUUUGAUUUAAUUGUAGAAAUUAUAGGAAUUAAUUAUGCAUUCAAGUGUAUAAUUCCAAAUUAAGAACCAUAAUUUGUGUAUUUAUGCAUGAAUUGGAAUGAGGAAUAAAGGGUGGAAAAUUUUG
rnacentral:misc_RNA from 1 species